UACAGAGGUCUCGAGCGUUGUUCGGAUUCAUUGGGCGUAAAGGGUGCGUAGGUGGCGCUGUAAGUCGGGUGUGAAAUCCUGAGGCUUAACCUCGGAACUGCAUUCGAUACUGCGGCGCUUUGAGGACUGGAGAGGAGACUGGAAUUCAUGGUGUAGCAGUGAAAUGCGUAGAGAUCAUGAGGAAGACCAGUGGCGAAGGCGGGUCUCUGGGCUAUAACUGACGCUCAUGCACGAAAGCGUGGGGGAGCAAACAGG
rnacentral:rRNA from 1 species